rnacentral:rRNA from 1 species
AGUGAACGCUGGCGGUAGGCCUAACACAUGCAAGUCGAACGGCAGCACAGUAAGAGCUUGCUCUUACGGGUGGCGAGUGGCGGACGGGUGAGGAAUACAUCGGAAUCUACUUUUUCGUGGGGGAUAACGUAGGGAAACUUACGCUAAUACCGCAUACGACCUACGGGUGAAAGCAGGGGAUCUUCGGACCUUGCGCGAUUGAAUGAGCCGAUGUCGGAUUAGCUAGUUGGCGGGGUAAAGGCCCACCAAGGCGACGAUCCGUAGCUGGUCUGAGAGGAUGGUCAGCCACACUGGAACUGAGACACGGUCCAGACUCCUACGGGAGGCAGCAGUGGGGAAUAUUGGACGAUGGGGGCAAGCCUGAUCCAGCCAUACCGCGUGGGUGAAGAAGGCCUUCGGGUUGUAAAGCCCUUUUGUUGGGAAAGAAAAGCAGCAGGUUAAUACCCCGCUGUUCUGACGGUACCCAAAGAAUAAGCACCGGCUAACUUCGUG